CUUUGUGGUGCUAUUGAGAAUACCGAACAUAUCUUUUUUCAUUGCUCUUUGGCUAAAUUAAUUUGGAGUUGCAUUAGACUUUGGCUUCGUGCUAAUUGGAACCCCUCUUCUUUUGAGGAUCUACGGCGUUGUAUUAACUCGCUAGCAGGCCGGUCUAAGCGGGUCUUCAUGGUGGGUUGGGCUGCGAUUUGUUGGUCGCUAUGGACUACUAGAAACAAGUUCACUAUUGAACACAUUUUCCCGGCUAACCCAGUGAGUUGCUUAUUUAAAGCCAAUGUCUUUUUGCAGCAGUGGAGAUCAUUGACUAAGGAAGGGGACCUAGAGGCUUUCGACGAUAUGCUAUCUAAAAUGAAAUCUAUGGCUUCUUCCCUGCUGCGGCGCUCCAGGAGGUCGGAUCCCUAA
rnacentral:rRNA from 1 species